UACGGGGGGGGCAAGCGUUGUUCGGAAUUACUGGGCGUAAAGGGCUCGUAGGUGGCCAACUAAGUCAGACGUGAAAUCCCUCAGCUUAACUGGGGAACUGCGUCUGAUACUGGAUGGCUUGAGUUUGGGAGAGGGAUGCGGAAUUCCAGGUGUAGCGGUGAAAUGCGCAGAUAUCAGGAGGAACACCGGUGGCGAAGGCGGGUCUCUGGGCCGUAACUGACGCUGAGGAGCGAAAGCGUGGGGAGCGAACAGG
rnacentral:rRNA from 1 species